GGCGCUGCGCCGAUUGGAAGUUCCACCACGACCGUCACCAGCACAGGGCCAAACCGAGAAACCGGGACGCGGGGGCCGCCGCCACUCAGUCCCUCCUCCGCCGCCGCCGCUCCACUUCUCCAACAGCCGUCGCUCGGGCGCGCGCGCGCCGCCCGCCGCUCCGCGGUCCGCCUUCAGCAAGGGACUCCUCGGCGGCCGCGGCAGCCACCUCCUCCGCCUCCUCCUCCUCCGCGGCGGCGGCGGCGGCUCCCGCAGGCAUCCACAGUCCCGCCUCCUCCCUUCAUUUCCUUGUUUUGGAACCUGGUGGGCCGCGCCGCGGCUUUCUCGAACUCAUUAAGGAACCAAGCAGCCCGCCCCAAGGUCUCAAGCCAUUCUGGGAAAUGUAGUUCAAGUGGGCUCGUGAGUUGUGCUACCUCCUCGGGAGCGGGGAAUACAGUUCCCAGAGUUCCUGGGGCCUUUUGGGCCACGCCUCCACAAGGCAUGUACGCCUGCGCACUGCCGCCGCCCCACCCCCUCAGGUAGCGCGCGACUGCUGUUCCUGUAA
rnacentral:lncRNA from 1 species